AAAAAUCAAUGCCCUUCGGGGCUCCUUGGUGAAUCAUAAUAACUUAACGAAUCGCAUGGCCUUGCGCCGGCGAUGGUUCAUUCAAAUUUCUGCCCUAUCAACUUUCGAUGGUAGGAUAGUGGCCUACCAUGGUGGCAACGGGUAACGGGGAAUUAGGGUUCGAUUCCGGAGAGGGAGCCUGAGAAACGGCUACCACAUCCAAGGAAGGCAGCAGGCGCGCAAAUUACCCAAUCCCGACACGGGGAGGUAGUGACAAUAAAUACUGAUACGGGGCUCUUUUGGGUCUCGUAAUUGGAAUGAGUACAAUCUAAAUCCCUUAACGAGGAACAAUUGGAGGGCAAGUCUGGUGCCAGCAGCCGCGGUAAUUCCAGCUCCAAUAGCGUAUAUUAAAGUUGUUGCAGUUAAAAAGCUCGUAGUUGAACCUUGGGUCUGGCUGGCCGGUCCGCCUCACCGCGAGUACUGGUCCGGCUGGACCUUUCCUUCUGGGGAACCUCAUGGCCUUCACUGGCUGUGGGGGGAACCAGGACUUUUACUGUGAAAAAAUUAGAGUGUUCAAAGCAGGCCUUUGCUCGAAUACAUUAGCAUGGAAUAAUAGAAUAGGACGUGCGGUUCUAUUUUGUUGGUUUCUAGGACCGCCGUAAUGAUUAA
rnacentral:rRNA from 2 species